rnacentral:tRNA from 2 species
GGAGGACUCGCAUAGCGGCCGAGUGCACCGGUCUUGAAAACCGGCAAGGGAAACCUUCGUGGGUUCAAAUCCCACGUCCUCCGC